AGCCCGGAGGAGCGGGGCCGCGGGCGGGCCCCGGAGCGGGGUUGCGGCGCGGCGUCGGCGGGAGGUCGGCUCCUGUUGCGGCAGGCGUGGCCCGGAGCGCCGGUGAGUCACGGGAAGCUUGAACCGUCUGGAGCAAGCCGGCUGAAGGAGAUCGCGAGUCAGGGUAGUCCCCCGAGAGGGGACAUCUCGAAGAGAAGCGGCUGGACCUAGCGAUCCAGCUGUUCGCGUUGGUCGUCACCCGUGAGGCAAGCAGCUGAGCGUAAGAGGACUCUGGGAGCUGAAUCGAAAAGAGCUGGAACCAACGAUAGCAAAUGCUGACAGAGAGGAAAGCUGGACAAGCAGUCUUUUUGUGAUUAGUACCUAAGGGACGAAGGGAGUGCAACGAGGAAGCAAAAACGCAGCGGACCCCUGACAUCCCCAGCGACUGCUGCAGAAGGAGGUGUUCCGCGACGGGCGAGAAAGGUGACCGCUGGGCUCUGCCUUGAGCUUUCAGGAAGCUGCUCUCAGAAGCCAGGGGGGCCUCUGCUGCCCUGGCAGUCCCAGCUGUCCCUGAUGGCCUGCAGCUCUGGGCACUGUGGCUGCGACAAGUCCCAGGUGGGGCCUGUUUGGCUGAUUGCAAGGGUAGGAAGUGGGUACAUGCUGUCAGCUGGGUCUGCAUUUGGAAGUUCAUGUCAGUGUUGGUCCAGGACAAUGGAGCUGCUGCCACACACUGCCUGCUGGGACUAGAAUGUUGGCUGCACUGCAGAGGAGGUGAGCAGGGCUGAGGGGGGGCUGACCUACGGGUCAUGCACGUGCUGCCGGUCUUAGCGGAUGGGAGCGUCCUGGGCGAUGGAGCAGAACUGAGGCGGACCGUGCUGGGGCAAAGUGU